rnacentral:lncRNA from 1 species
GCGUCCUUUUGUGGAUCUUUAAAUUCUCGGAGCGCGCGAAGACCUUGCCACAGCCAGGGAAGGGGCAGGGAAAGGGCUUCUCGCCCGUGUGCACGCGGAUGUGGUUAACCAGUUUGUAUUUGGCUUUGAAGGGCUUGCCCUCGCGCGGACACUCCUCCCAGAAGCAGAUGUGAUUACUCUGCUCCGGGCCACCUACGUGCUCCACGGUGACGUGCGUAACUAGCUCGUGCAUGGUGCUGAAAGUUUUGUUGCACGACUUUUUGGGGUUGGCCAGCUGCUCGGGCUCGAUCCACUUGCAGAUGAGCUCUUGCUUGAUGGGUUGGCGCAUGUAGCGGAAGAAGGCGCCGGCGCCGUGAUGCGCGGCCAUGUUCACGUUCAUGGGCCCGUAGCCGUGCAGCUGCGGCGCAGCAUAGUGCUCCGAACGCGGGCUGGUCACCUGGCCGUACUGCUCCGGUCGCGGGUACAUGUCCCCCGAGAAGCCGAGCCUCAUCUGCCCGUUGACCACGUUAGGCGACGCGUGGCCGGCAGCCUGCUCGUGAAGCCCGGGGAAGAGGAGGUGGCCCGCGGCGUCCGUGUGGCCGUGUGGGCCCCCGAAGCCCCCGGCCGAUGCAGCAAAGAGGCUGUGCUGUGCGCUGGCUGCCGCCGCCGCGUCGCCAAAACCCCGGUUGCGGAACAGAAAGUCCCGCGUGGAGUUGAAGGCUGCGCUGGAAUAGGAGCCGACGUGGCCCGGGUGAUGGUGAUGGCCCAGGGCCGCAGCAGCCGCGUAGCCUGGCGCCUGCGACGUGAAGGCCGUCUGGCCGGCCGAAGCCAGCUCGUGCGAACUGGGGUUGAGCUUGAAGGCGCCCAUGCCGUCGGCGAACGGGUUGAUGCCCAGGCCCACGUCUCGUUCGGCCACGUCGCCCGCGGAGUGGUGGCGGGACGCGCCAAAGGUGGUCACGCCGAUCGCUGGGUACUGGGGGCCGGCGUCCAGGAGCAUCGUGGCUGCUCGGGGCGAGCCCCGGCCUCCCCCGCCCCCCCCACCCUCGCCAGCCGAGGAGGGAAAAUCGGGAGGAGGAGGAGGAACAAGAGGAGGAGGAAGAGGAAUGUGAGCGCCAGUGCCGCGACUGCUUCGCCCUCUCUCCGCCUCGCGCAGCGCGCCCCUCCUUACUUCUCCACUAGCCCCUCGCC